GAUGAACGCUGGCGGCGUGCCUAAUACAUGCAAGUCGAGCGAACGGACGAGAAGCUUGCUUCUCUGAUGUUAGCGGCGGACGGGUGAGUAACACGUGGAUAACCUACCUAUAAGACUGGGAUAACUUCGGGAAACCGUAGCUAAUACCGGAUAAUAUUUUGAACCGCAUGGUUCAAAAGUGAAAGACGGUCUUGCUGUCACUUAUAGAUGGAUCCGCGCUGCAUUAGCUAGUUGGUAAGGUAACGGCUUACCAAGGCAACGAUGCAUAGCCGACCUGAGAGGGAGAUCGGCCAAACUGGAACUGAGAUCCGGUCCAGACUCCUACGAGAGGCAGCAGUAGAGAAUCUUCCGCAACGUGCGAAAGCCUGACGGAGCAACGCCGCGUGAGUAAUGAAGGUCUUCGGAUCGUAAAACUCUGUUAUUAGGGAAGAACAUAUGUGUAAGUAACUGUGCACAUCUUGACGGUACCUAAUCAGAAGGCCACGGCUAACUACGUG
rnacentral:rRNA from 1 species